GAUGAACGCUGGCGGCGUGCCUAAUACAUGCAAGUCGAGCGAACAGAUAAGGAGCUUGCUCCUUUGACGUUAGCGGCGGACGGGUGAGUAACACGUGGGUAACCUACUUAUAAGACUGGGAUAACUUCGGGAAACCGGAGCUAAUACCGGAUAAUAUUUCGAACCGCAUGGUUCGAUAGUGAAAGAUGGUUUUGCUAUCACCUAUAGAUGGACCCGCGCCGUAUUAGCUAGUUGGUAAGGUAACGGCUUACCAAGGCGACGAUACGUAGCCGACCUGAGAGGGUGAUCGGCCACACUGGAACUGAGACACGGUCCAGACUCCUACGGGAGGCAGCAGUAGGGAAUCUUCCGCAAUGGGCGAAAGCCUGACGGAGCAACGCCGCGUGAGUGAUGAAGGUCUUCGGAUCGUAAAACUCUGUUAUUAGGGAAGAACAUACGUGUAAGUAACUGUGCACGUCUUGACGGUACCUAAUCAGAAAGCCACGGCUAACUACGUGCCAGCAGCCGCGGUAAUACGUAGGCGGCAAGCGUUAUCCGGAAUUAUUGGGCGUAAAGCGCGCGUAGGCGGUUUUUUAAGUCUGAUGUGAAAGCCCACGGCUCAACCGUGGAGGGUCAUUGGAAACUGGAAAACUUGAGUGCAGAAGAGGAAAGUGGAAUUCCAUGUGUAGCGGUGAAAUGCGCAGAGAUAUGGAGGAACACCAGUGGCGAAGGCGACUUUCUGGUCUGUAACUGACGCUGAUGUGCGAAAGCGUGGGGAUCAAACAGGAUUAGAUACCCUGGUAGUCCACGCCGUAAACGAUGAGUGCUAAGUGUUAGGGGGUUUCCGCCCCUUAGUGCUGCAGCUAACGCAUUAAGCACUCCGCCUGGGGAGUACGACCGCAAGGUUGAAACUCAAAGGAAUUGACGGGGACCCGCACAAGCGGUGGAGCAUGUGGCUUAAUUCGAAGCAACGCGAAGAACCUUACCAAAUCUUGACAUCCUUUGACAACUCUAGAGAUAGAGCUUUCCCCUUCGGGGGACAAAGUGACAGGUGGUGCAUGGUUGUCGUCAGCUCGUGUCGUGAGAUGUUGGGUUAAGUCCCGCAACGAGCGCAACCCUUAAGCUUAGUUGCCAUCAUUAAGUUGGGCACUCUAAGUUGACUGCCGGUGACAAACCGGAGGAGGGUGGGGAUGACGUCAAAUCAUCAUGCCCCUUAUGAUUUGGGCUACACACGUGCUACAAUGGACAAUACAAAGGGCAGCGAAACCGCGAGGUCAAGCAAAUCCCAUAAAGUUGUUCUCAGUUCGGAUUGUAGUCUGCAACUCGACUACAUGAAGCUGGAAUCGCUAGUAAUCGUAGAUCAGCAUGCUAUGGUGAAUACGUUCCCGGGUCU
rnacentral:rRNA from 1 species